rnacentral:lncRNA from 1 species
CCUACAUUCUAAUACACCCAAUUAAACUUCUACCAUAUAGUAACUAACAAACAAUUCAUCUACUUACCAAACAACAACGUGUUUUGAUUUCGUUAUAGAAAAGCGCUCCUAAAAUUCUCUAUAGCCAAGUGAUGAAACACCACUUUCACUAUGAGUUAUUGACUGAAUGAAAAUGUUUUUCAAAAAAAGGAGCACAUUGAGUUUAAUAAUACUAGAGAUGGGAUAAAUACCACAACAGGGCCAAUAUAAAAUUACAACAGCGCCACUACCGGAUUCAAUAUACAAUAAAGAAGCUAACUACUGAAUAAUACAACAUUAAACCAACUAACUAAAUAAUAAAGUAAAUUAAUUGUACCGAAUUAAAUAAAUAAAAGAAUAUGCAUGCCAUAUAUAUUUUCGUUUACAAAAUUUACAAAAGAGAAGUAAUCUAAAUCCUCGAGUACAAUCUCCAUGAUCUUAACCUCCAAGUUUACCUAAAAUGGUUCCCACCAACAUUGGUAAGAAUAAAGCUUGCAGAAAAAUUUAACAAAGGAGUAUAAAAUUGAAAUAACAUUCACAUACAUGCACAUUCAAUCACACAAAUAGGGUUCAAAAAGGGGGAAAGGGGGAAAUAGGGUAGCAAACAAGCAUACAACCUCACACCCACGCUGACAAUUCUAUCAAAGAACAUAUAUACAACCAACGCACACUCCAAUCUACACACAGAAACACAACUAACAUAAGCACCUCUAACUAUAUCACAACCAACGCACAUUCCAAUCUACAGACAAAAAGACAACUGACACACACAGCUCUACUCUCACCACAACUGACAUAUGCUCCGAUUCGCAAUACACAGAGAGAGAAUCAACUCGUGGCCAAUAAACAUCAUCCGCAAAGGCAUGUACCAUUCAAUCAAUCCAUAAUAGAGAUAGAGAGAUAGAAAGAGAAAAAAUCUUGGCAUUAUACAUCUUCCGCUACCAUUUCCAAGGCAUGUGACACACUACCCUUGUACAUCCUCUGCUAUCCCUUUCCGAGGCAUGUACCACACUACUCAAUCAAUACAUCUCACAGGUCAACAUCCCCCUUCCACUCCCUUGCUAGGCAUGUUACCUGAUCAUAUCAAGAAGAGAGAGAGGAAUCACUCCAUCAUUACGGGUCAACAUGCUCUUCCACUCCCUUGCAUAGGCAUGUCCGACCCCACUCACUUCCGCUCUAGGUUGACAACCCCAUUCCUACCCCUUUCUAAUAUACAUCUAACCUAAGCCACGUACCUACCAUAGUCACACACUCUUACCAUAGUUAGGCAUACCCCUAACUAAGUUAACACAUCAACACACGAUCACAACACAGUAUUACCAGUUAAGGAUCAACUAAACACACAGACCAUAACCCCCCCACCCCCCACCCCCCCACCCCCACCCCCCCACCACACACACACACACACACACCAACUCCUCACUCACACAGACCAUAAACAUAUACGAACGAACCCCAGGGAUGCACGCUCAUCACCCAAGUCAAAACCUCAAUGCCCCCUCUAAGUCACACCCAAGCUGACCUUAGGAGGCGCACUCCUCACCUAAGUCAACACUUUAGCACCCAAAUUCACAAAUCUACCAACUACUCAUAGAAUGAGCAGUUUAAACAUACUUUUCAUUAAAAGCAAAUCAACAAUUUCCAAAGCAAACAUAAAAAAACGCGUAAAUUUAAUCCCACUUGGCCAACAAAUUAAACAACUAUUAAUGCAAUUUCACAGUUUAGACCCACUCAACCAACCUUUAAAUAUUUAAUACAUAAUCAUGUAAUUAUUUUAUUUUUAACAAUUAAGCAAUUUAGCCCACUCAGCUAAUCAUCAACUAACAAAUUACGAAAAUUUACAAUUAAAGCCCACAGACUAAUAAUGAAACACGUAAUUUACAACGAAAGGCCACCCGUCUGAUACUUCAAUACAUAAUUAUCAAUUCAACAAUUUAUGUUUUAAUUCACAUUUUUCAUUAUUUACAAAAUUGUAAUUCAAGUUAAAAUUACUUACCUCGGAGUGAGUGUGAAACCCACGUUAUCAAGAUCACAUGAAUCCUACGGUGUCUCGGCCCCAGGAAAUGAACACGCGCUGCAAACCGAUUCCGUAAAGUGAGAGAGAAAUUAGGGCAAAAGGCAAAAUUUAGGAAAAUUGGAAAAAGGGUAGGAAGGGGAAGGGGGAAAUGGUGGUGGCGGUGUGGUACUGUCGCAGUGGGGGGUGAGAGAGAGAGAGACGGGAGGCGAGAGAGCACACUUGAGAGAGGAGGGUGGUGAUCGUAGCGCGGUGAUGGCAGUCGGCGGCGAGGGUCGGCGACAUGCGUCGGUGCACCGAUCCCGCCGGGGGGUAUCGCUCGCCUCCCACAUUCACCGAGAGAGAAAGAGGAGGGAGGGAGAAGUUGGUUGGUGAGGGUGGUCGCCAACCGGCCAUUGAGAGAUAGGGAGAUCCAAGAGAGAGAGAGAGAAAGCAGAG